GACGAACGCUGGCGGCGUGCCUAACACAUGCAAGUCGAACGGAAAGGCCCUGCUUUUGUGUGUUUCUCGAGUGGCGAACGGGUGAGUAACCCGUUAGUAACCUUCCCUUUACUUUGGGAUAACUUCAGGAAACUGGGGCUAAUACCGGAUAGGUGCUCCUGCCGCCUGGUUUGGGUUGUAAAGUUUCGUCUGUUGUGGAUGGAUGGGUGGGUUAUCAGCUUGUUGGUGGGUUAGUGGCUUACCAAGGCUGAGACGGGUAGCCGGCCUGCGAGGGUGACCGGGGACAAGGGGACUAAGAGACGGACCAGAAGGCUACGGGAGGCAGCAGGGGAGAGUAUGACACAAUGAGGGGAAGCGUGAGGCAAAGGCGCCGGGAGCGGGAAGACGGCUUUCGGGGUAUGAACAGAUUUCGCCUGUGACGAAGAGUGAGUGACGGUAAUGGGUAAAGAAGCACCGGCUAACUACGUG
rnacentral:rRNA from 1 species